AGAUAGCUGGUUCUCCCCGAAAUAGCUUUAGGGCUAGCGUCAUGUUAGAUUACCGGAGGUAAAGCACUGAAUGGACUAGGGGCCGCGAGGUUACCGAACCCUAUCAAACUAAGAAUGCCGGAUAAUUGGUGCAUGGCAGUCAGUCUACGUGAGAUAAGUCUCGUGGUCAAAAGGGAAACAGCCCAGAUCCACAGCUAAGGUCCCUAAUAGAUGCUAAGUGUAAAAUGAUGUGGAGUUGCACAGACAAUCAGGAUGUUGGCUUAGAAGCAGCCACACAUUCAAAGAGUGCGUAAUAGCUCACUGAUCGAGUGGCUCUGCGCAGAAGAUAUAACGGGGCUAAGCAUCUAACCGAAGCUUGGGCAGCGCAUGCGCUGGGUAGGGGAGCGUUCUUAUCGGGGCGAAGCAAGAGCGGAAGCACUUGUGGACUGAUAAGAAGUGAGAAUGCCGGAAUAAGUAGCGAGAAUUAUGUGGGAAUCAUAAUGGUCGAAAAUCUGAGGUUUCUUGGGGAAGGUUCGUCCGCCCAAGGUAAGCCGGGAGCUAAGGCGAGGCCGAAAGGCGUAGUCGAUGCACAUACGGUGGAAAUUCCGUAGCCGCUGACAUUUAAACCACAGUGACACUUUGAGAUAGGAGAUCCCGGGCGAUGGUUGCCCCGGGCGUAAGGGACCGAAAUUAAAGUAGGGAAGUCUUCGAUGCUCAGAGGCGAGAAAAGCUGUGGCGUAUACUAAAGCGCCCGUACCGCAAACCGACACAGGUAGAUGAGGAGAGAAUCCUAAGACCAACGGGAGAAGGGUUGUCAAGGAACUAGGCAAAUUGGACUCGUAACUUCGGGAGAAGAGUCGCCCUCAGCAAUGAGGGUCGCAGUGAAAAGGCCCAAGCGACUGUUUAACAAAAACACAGGUCUCUGCUAAAUCGAAAGAUGAAGUAUAGGGGCUGACGCCUGCCCGGUGCUGGAAGGUUAAGAGGAGAGGUUAGCGCAAGCGAAGCUUUGAUCUGAAGCCCCAGUAAACGGCGGCCGUAACUAUAACGGUCCUAAGGGAGCGAAAUUCCUUGUCAGGUAAGUUCUGACCCGCACGAAUGGCGUAACGAUUUGGGCACUGUCUCGACAGCCCGCCCGGCGAAAUUGUAGUACUGGUGAAGAUGCCAGUUACCCGCAACUAGACGGAAAGACCCCAUGGAGCUUUACUGUAGCUUGAUACUGGAUUUUGAUAUUUCAUGUACAGGAUAGGUGGGAGGCUUGGAAAUCUGGGCGCCAGCUCAGAUGGAGCCACCGUUGGGAUACCACCCUUGAACUAUUGGAAUUCUAACCUGCGGCCGUGAAUCCGGUCGGGGGACACUGUCAGGUGGGCAGUUUGACUGGGGCGGUCGCCUCCAAAAGAGUAACGGAGGCGCUCAAAGGUUCGUUCAGCACGGACGGAAAUCGUGCAUUGAGUGUAAACGCAUAAACGAGCCUAACUGCGAGACAGACAUGUCGAGCAGGAACGAAAGUUGGAGUUAGUGAUCCGGUGGUAUGUGAGUGGAAA
rnacentral:rRNA from 1 species